AUGUGCAUCCAUUUUACCACCAUGAAUGUGCCCAGUCUCAUCUGAUCCCAGAAGCUAAGAAAGGUUGGCCCUGCUUAGUACUUGGAUGGGAGACAUUAGACUUACUGAAGUCUGCACUAGGAGCGUUGCACUUG
ensembl:rRNA 5S_rRNA 5S ribosomal RNA